CCUUCUGGCGAUCUCUUAAAAACAAAGCCUCAUUCUUUCAGAAAAGAGGGUUUUUUAAGAAAACAGCAGCUUUAUACUCAGUGUGGUUCUCUCUUAAGAGCCUCCUUUUUCUAUAAAAAGGUAAGUUUAUUUAAAAGCGUGCUUUUUGUUUGAGAGUUUACCUUAUUUAAUUUAAGAGUUUGCUCUUUUAUCUAAGAGUUUUCCGGGGAAGGUUUUCCGGUUUAUCCCGGAGGGCUUGUAGCUCAGUUGGUUAGAGCGCGCGCUUGAUAAGCGUGAGGUCGGAGGUUCAAGUCCUCCCAGGCCCACCAAGUUAGAAUUACUUAUUGGAAUUGCUUAACCCACUGUUGAGAAACUCCCUCCUUUAUGAGAGAAGUUCUAAAAAUGAGAAAAGCUCUUGAGAGCCUCAAAUGACAGACUUCAAAUUCUCGAUAAACUUUAAAAGUGUUCGUAAAAUGUUCAUGAUAUAUUC
rnacentral:misc_RNA from 1 species